ACGGUGUAGUGGUAGAGCACGCGUCCCCGGAUAGGAUGAAACGUGGGUUCGAUUCCCGCCUGAGGUC